rnacentral:rRNA from 1 species
AUUGAACGCUGGCGGCAGGCCUAACACAUGCAAGUCGAGCGGAUGAGGGAAGCUUGCUUCCUGAUUUAGCGGCGGACGGGUGAGUAAUGCCUAGGAAUCUGCCUAUUAGUGGGGGAUAACGUUCCGAAAGGAACGCUAAUACCGCAUACGUCCUACGGGAGAAAGUGGGGGAUCUUCGGACCUCACGCUAAUAGAUGAGCCUAGGUCGGAUUAGCUAGUUGGUGAGGUAACGGCUCACCAAGGCGACGAUCCGUAGCUGGUCUGAGAGGAUGAUCAGCCACACUGGAACUGAAAAACGGUCCAGACUCCUACGGAAGGCAGCAGUGGGGAAUAUUGGACAAUGGGCGAAAGCCUGAUCCAGCCAUGCCGCGUGUGUGAAGAAGGUCUUCGGAUUGUAAAGCACUUUAAGUUGGGAGGAAGGGCUGUAAGCUAAUAUCUUGCAGCUUUGACGUUACCAACAGAAUAAGCACCGGCUAACUCUGUGCCAGCAGCCGCUGUAACAC